rnacentral:rRNA from 1 species
AUUAGCCGAUUAACAUGCAGUCGAGCGGGGGAAGGUAGCUUGCUACCGGACCUAGCGGCGGACGGGUGAGUAAUGCUUAGGAAUCUGCCUAUUAGUGGGGGACAACAUCUCGAAAGGGAUGCUAAUACCGCAUACGUCCUACGGGAGAAAGCAGGGGAUCUUCGGACCUUGCGCUAAUAGAUGAGCCUAAGUCGGAUUAGCUAGUUGGUGGGGUAAAGGCCUACCAAGGCGACGAUCUGUAGCGGGUCUGAGAGGAUGAUCCGCCACACUGGGACUGAGACACGGCCCAGACUCCUACGGGAGGCAGCAGUGGGGAAUAUUGGACAAUGGGGGGAACCCUGAUCCAGCCAUGCCGCGUGUGUGAAGAAGGCCUUAUGGUUGUAAAGCACUUUAAGCGAGGAGGAGGCUACUUUAGUUAAUACCUAGAGAUAGUGGACGUUACUCGCAGAAUAAGCACCGGCUAACUCUGUGCCAGCAGCCGCGGUAAUACAGAGGGUGCGAGCGUUAAUCGGAUUUACUGGGCGUAAAGCGUGCGUAGGCGGCUUAUUAAGUCGGAUGUGAAAUCCCCGAGCUUAACUUGGGAAUUGCAUUCGAUACUGGUGAGCUAGAGUAUGGGAGAGGAUGGUAGAAUUCCAGGUGUAGCGGUGAAAUGCGUAGAGAUCUGGAGGAAUACCGAUGGCGAAGGCAGCCAUCUGGCCUAAUACUGACGCUGAGGUACGAAAGCAUGGGGAGCAAACAGGAUUAGAUACCCUGGUAGUCCAUGCCGUAAACGAUGUCUACUAGCCGUUGGGGCCUUUGAGGCUUUAGUGGCGCAGCUAACGCGAUAAGUAGACCGCCUGGGGAGUACGGUCGCAAGACUAAAACUCAAAUGAAUUGACGGGGGCCCGCACAAGCGGUGGAGCAUGUGGUUUAAUUCGAUGCACGCGAGAACCUUACCUGGCCUUGACAUA